UGGGGGAUAACGUAGGGAAACUUACGCUAAUACCGCAUACGACCUUCGGGUGAAAGCAGGGGACCUUCGGGCCUUGCGCGGAUAGAUGAGCCGAUGUCGGAUUAGCUAGUUGGCGGGGUAAAGGCCCACCAAGGCGACGAUCCGUAGCUGGUCUGAGAGGAUGAUCAGCCACACUGGAACUGAGACACGGUCCAGACUCCUACGGGAGGCAGCAGUGGGGAAUAUUGGACAAUGGGCGCAAGCCUGAUCCAGCCAUACCGCGUGGGUGAAGAAGGCCUUCGGGUUGUAAAGCCCUUUUGUUGGGAAAGAAAAGCAGUCGAUUAAUACUCGGUUGUUCUGACGGUACCCAAAGAAUAAGCACCGGCUAACUUCGUGCCAGCAGCCGCGGUAAUACGAAGGGUGCAAGCGUUACUCGGAAUUACUGGGCGUAAAGCGUGCGUAGGUGGUUGUUUAAGUCUGUUGUGAAAGCCCUGGGCUCAACCUGGGAAUUGCAGUGGAAACUGGACGACUANAGUGUGGUANAGGGUAGUGGAAUUCCCGGUGUAGCANUGAAAUGCGUA
rnacentral:rRNA from 2 species